GUGCUCACUUCAGCAGCACAUAGAGUAAAAUUGGAAUGAUACAGAAAAGGUUAGAAUUGCUUCUGUCCAAAAAUGACAGGAAAAUCUAUGAAGUAUUCUGUGUGUGU
ensembl:snRNA U6 U6 spliceosomal RNA